AAUAACCUCAUUGUAUUUUCUAAUAUGGAUGGACCCUGGUUUAUUAUUCCCUUAGUGACUGACUUUAUAAUCUUUUCCUUUUUAAAAUUAUUACAAACCAUGCUGCAGCGGACAUCUUUCUAGGUAUCUCUUUAUGCACACAUGCCGGUGUUCUCCAAGAGACUCUUCAAGACCCCUCACAGACUGCCAGCUGUACCUUUUUUAGCAGGUGACUGAAGAUGUACAUCUGUGCUAAAGGGGUCACUGGCUCCUUGCAGUUACUUCAUGAUUCCCCACGGUUUCUACUGGUUGGGAUCUACUACCUUAGACUUACACACUACUCCUGACCCCUUCCACUCCCCUCUGCCUCAGGAGCCAGACAGUGACAAUGAGUGGCAACACCUGCUAGAGACCACUGAGCCUGUGCCUAUUCAACUGAAGGCUCCUCUCACCUUGCUGUGCAAUCCUGACUUCUGCCAGCGCAUCCAGAGUCAGCUGCAUGAAGCUGGAGGGCAGAUCCUGAAAGGCAUCUUGGAGGGUGCUUCCCACAUCCUGCCUGCAUUCCGGGUCCUGAGCAGUCUUCUCUCCAGCUGCAGUGACU
rnacentral:sRNA from 1 species